AUUUAAAAAAAAAAAAAACAGCAUUGCUGCUAAAUUAUACAUAUUAACAAACUACUUCCUCAAGUAUCUACAAUGCCAAUUUACAAAGAGAGAGAGAGAGAGAGGAGGAGAAAGGGAGAGAUAAAAACAGAAAAGUAUGAGGAAUUUGAGGCUUUGUUGGAUACCAGGGUAUGUAUGUUCCUUGGGGGUUGUUCUCUGUUAACUGGGACCAGUUCCUUGGGGGUUGUUCUCUGUUAACUGGGACCAGUUCCUUGGGGGUUGUUCUCUGUUAACUGGGACCAGUUCCUUGGGGGUUGUUCUCUGUUAACUGGGACCAGUUCCUUGGGGGUUGUUCUCUGUUAACUGGGACCAGUUCCUUGGGGGUUGUUCUCUGUUAACUGGGACCAGUUCCUUGGGGGUUGUUCUCUGUUAACUGGGACCAGUUCCUUGGGGGUUGUUCUCUGUUAACUGGGACCAGUUCCUUGGGGGUUGUUCUCUGUUAACUGGGACCAGUUCCUUGGGGGUUGUUCUCUGUUAACUGGGACCAGUUCCUUGGGGGUUGUUCUCUGUUAACUGGGACCAGUUCCUUGGGGGUUGUUCUCUGUUAACUGGGACCAGUUCCUUGGGGGUUGUUCUCUGUUAACUGGGACCAGUUCCUUGGGGGUUGUUCUCUGUUAACUGGGACCAGUUCCUUGGGGGUUGUUCUCUGUUAACUGGGACCAGUUCCUUGGGGGUUGUUCUCUGUUAACUGGGACCAGUUCCUUGGGGGUUGUUCUCUGUUAACUGGGACCAGUUCCUUGGGGGUUGUUCUCUGUUAACUGGGACCAGUUCCUUGGGGGUUGUUCUCUGUUAACUGGGACCAGUUCCUUGGGGGUUGUUCUCUGUUAACUGGGACCAGUUCCUUGGGGGUUGUUCUCUGUUAACUGGGACCAGUUCCUUGGGGGUUGUUCUCUGUUAACUGGGACCAGUUCCUUGGGGGUUGUUCUCUGUUAACUGGGACCAGUUCCUUGGGGGUUGUUCUCUGUUAACUGGGACCAGUUCCUUGGGGGUUGUUCUCUGUUAACUGGGACCAGUUCCUUGGGGGUUGUUCUCUGUUAACUGGGACCAGUUCCUUGGGGGUUGUUCUCUGUUAACUGGGACCAGUUCCUUGGGGGUUGUUCUCUGUUAACUGGGACCAGUUCCUUGGGGGUUGUUCUCUGUUAACUGGGACCAGUUCCUUGGGGGUUGUUCUCUGUUAACUGGGACCAGUUCCUUGGGGGUUGUUCUCUGUUAACUGGGACCAGUUCCUUGGGGGUUGUUCUCUGUUAACUGGGACCAGUUCCUUGGGGGUUGUUCUCUGUUAACUGGGACCAGUUCCUUGGGGGUUGUUCUCUGUUAACUGGGACCAGUUCCUUGGGGGUUGUUCUCUGUUAACUGGGACCAGUUCCUUGGGGGUUGUUAACUGGGACCAGUUCCUUGGGGGUUGUUAACUGGGACCAGUUCCUUGGGGGUUGUUCUCUGUUAACUGGGACCAGUUCCUUGGGGGUUGUUCUCUGUUAACUGGGACCAGUUCCUUGGGGGUUGUUCUCUGUUAACUGGGACCAGUUCCUUGGGGGUUGUUCUCUGUUAACUGGGACCAGUUCCUUGGGGGUUGUUCUCUGUUAACUGGGACCAGUUCCUUGGGGGUUGUUCUCUGUUAACUGGGACCAGUUCCUUGGGGGUUGUGUGAUGACAUGACAGAAUAGGAGGGGCAAGCAGGGGUUUGGUCACCUGUUGGACAGAUUUUAAAAGGUGUCACCAGGCAAGGGGCAUGAUGUAAUGAGGAGGAGAGUAGAGGACAGGGUACAGGGACCCCCCCAGGUAGAGGACAGGGUACAGGGUACAGGGACCCCCCCAGGUAGAGGACAGGGGACUGGUUGAACAUACUGGACCCCCCAGGUAGAGGACAGGGGACUGGUUGAACAUACUGGACCCCCCCAGGUAGAGGACAGGGGACUGGUUGAACAUACUGGACCCCCCCAGGUAGAGGACAGGGUACAGGGACCCCCCCAGGUAGAGGACAGGGUACAGGGUACAGGGACCCCCCCAGGUAGAGGACAGGGGACUGGUUGAACAUACUGGACCCCCCCAGGUAGAGGACAGGGUACAGGGUACUGGGACCCCCUGCCAGCAUCUCUAUCUGUAGAGGGAUUCACUGUAUGAGGUCACAGAAAAACUCAUC